CCUACGGGGGGCAGCAGUGAGGAAUAUUGGUCAAUGGACGAGAGUCUGAACCAGCCAAGUAGCGUGAAGGAUGAAUGCCCUAUGGGUUGUAAACUUCUUUUAUAUGGGAAUAAAAUGUUCCACGUGUGGGAUUUUGUAUGUACCAUAUGAAUAAGGAUCGGCUAACUCCGUGCCAGCAGCCGCGGUAAUACGGAGGAUCCGAGCGUUAUCCGGUUUUAUUGGGUUUAAAGGGAGCGUAGGUGGAUUGUUAAGUCAGUUGUGAAAGUUUGCGGCUCAACCGUAAAAUUGCAGUUGAAACUGGCAGUCUUGAGUACAGUAGAGGUGGGCGGAAUUCGUGGUGUAGCGGUGAAAUGCUUAGAUAUCACGAAGAACUCCGAUUGCGAAGGCAGUUCACUGGACUGCAACUGACACUGAGGCUCGAAAGUGUGGGUAUCAAACAGGAUUAGAUACCCUUGUAGUC
rnacentral:rRNA from 1 species